rnacentral:rRNA from 1 species
GACGUAGGGCGCGAGCGUUGUCCGGAAUUAUUGGGCGUAAAGCGCGCGCAGGCGGUCCUUUAAGUCUGAUGUGAAAGCCCUCGGCUCAACCGAGGAGGGUCAUUGGAAACUGGAGGACUUGAGUGCAGAAGAGGAAAGUGGAAUUCCAAGUGUAGCGGUGAAAUGCGUAGAGAUUUGGAGGAACACCAGUGGCGAAGGCGACUUUCUGGUCUGUAACUGACGCUGAGGCGCGAAAGCGUGGGGAGCAAACAGG